rnacentral:rRNA from 1 species
GCUCAACACUUGCAAGCGAACGGGGUAGCAAUACCAUAGUGGCGCACGGGUGCGUAACGCGUAACCAACCUGCCCCGAUCUGGGGUAUAGCCCGCCGAAAGGCGGAUUAAUACCGCAUAACCCAACAAGGUGGCAUCACCUAAUUGGUAAAGAUUUAUUGGAUCGGGAUGGGGUUGCGUGACAUUAGCUAGUUGGCGGGGUAACGGCCCACCAAGGCGACGAUGUCUAGGGGACCUGAGAGGGUGAUCCCCCACACUGGCACUGAGAUACGGGCCAGACUCCUACGGGAGGCAGCAGUAGGGAAUAUUGGGCAAUGGACGAGAGUCUGACCCAGCCAUGCCGCGUGCCGGAUGAAGGCCUUCUGGGUUGUAAACGGCUUUUCUCAGGGAAGAAAAAGGGGAUGCGUCCUCAACUGACGGUACCUGAGGAAUAAGCACCGGCUAACUCCGUGCCAGCAGCCGCGGUAAUACGGAGGGUGCAAGCGUUGUCCGGAUUUAUUGGGUUUAAAGGGUGCGUAGGCGGCUUGUUAAGUCCGGGGUGAAAGCCCACUGCUCAACAGUGGAACUGCCCUGGAUACUGGCAAGCUUGAGUCCAGACGAGGUUGGCGGAAUGGAUGGUGUAGCGGUGAAAUGCAUAGAUACCAUCCAGAACCCCGAUUGCGAAGGCAGCUGACUAGGCUGGUACUGACGCUGAGGCACGAAAGCGUGGGGAGCGAACAGGAUUAGAUACCCUGGUAGUCCACGCCGUAAACGAUGGAUACUCGCUGGUGG